GACGAACGCUGGCGGCGUGCCUAAUACAUGCAAGUAGAACGCUGAAGAGAGGAGCUUGCUCUUCUUGGAUGAGUUGCGAACGGGUGAGUAACGCGUAGGUAACCUGCCUUGUAGCGGGGGAUAACUAUUGGAAACGAUAGCUAAUACCGCAUAACAAUGGAUGACACAUGUCAUUUAUUUGAAAGGGGCAAUUGCUCCACUACAAGAUGGACCUGCGUUGUAUUAGCUAGUAGGUGAGGUAAUGGCUCACCUAGGCGACGAUACAUAGCCGACCUGAGAGGGUGAUCGGCCACACUGGGACUGAGACACGGCCCAGACUCCUACGGGAGGCAGCAGUAGGGAAUCUUCGGCAAUGGGGGCAACCCUGACCGAGCAACGCCGCGUGAGGGAAGAAGGGUGUCGGAUCGUAAAGCUCUGUUGUAAGUCAAGAACGGGUGUGAGAGUGGAAAGUUCACACUGUGACGGUAGCUUACCAGAAAGGGACGGCUAACUACGUG
rnacentral:rRNA from 1 species